CCAGACUCCUACGGGAGGCAGCAGUGGGGAAUAUUGCACAAUGGGGGAAACCCUGAUGCAGCGACGCCGCGUGAGUGAAGAAGUAUUUCGGUAUGUAAAGCUCUAUCAGCAGGGAAGAAAAUGACGGUACCUGACUAAGAAGCCCCGGCUAACUACGUGCCAGCAGCCGCGGUAAUACGUAGGGGGCAAGCGUUAUCCGGAUUUACUGGGUGUAAAGGGAGCGUAGACGGCAUGGCAAGUCAGAUGUGAAAGCCCGGGGCUCAACCCCGGGACUGCAUUUGAAACUGUCAGGCUGGAGUGCAGGAGGGGUAAGUGGAAUUCCUAGUGUAGCGGUGAAAUGCGUAGAUAUUAGGAGGAACACCAGUGGCGAAGGCGGUCUGCUGGACAGCAACUGACGCUGAGGCGCGAAAGCGUGGGGAGCAAACAGGAUUAGAUACCCGUGUA
rnacentral:rRNA from 1 species